CCUACGGGAGGCAGCAGUGGGGAAUAUUGCACAAUGGAGGGAACUCUGAUGCAGCGACGCCGCGUGAGUGAAGACGUAAUUCGGUAUGUAAAGCUCUAUCAGCCGGGAAGAAAGUGACGGUACCUGAAAAAGAAGCUCCGGCUAAAUACGUGCCAGCAGCCGCGGUAAUACGUAUGGAGCAAGCGUUAUCCGGAUUUACUGGGUGUAAAGGGAGAGUAGGUGGCAGAGCAAGUCCGAAGGUAAAACCCAGAGCUCAACUAUGGGAAUGCUUUAGAAACUGCUCAGCUAGAGUGCAGGAGAGGCAAGUGGAAUUCUUAGUGUAGCGGUGAAAUGCGUAGAUAUUAGGAGGAACACCAGUGGCGAAGGCGGUUUGCUGGACUGUAACUGACACUGAGGCUCGAAAGCGUGGGGAGCAAACAGGAUUAGAUACCCUGGUAGUC
rnacentral:rRNA from 1 species